rnacentral:tRNA from 1 species
GGGGAUGGAACUUAGUGGUAGAGUGCUCACCUAGUAAGCAGGAGGCCCUGGGUUCAAUUCCCAGCACUAUCA